AAAAACAUGUCUUCUUGUUUAUAUUUUGAAGUCUGUCCUGCUCACUGAUUUUUAAAGAGCCGCGGUAUUUUGACCGUGCAAAGGUAGCAUAAUCAUUAGUUUCCUAAUUAGGGGCUGGUAUGAAUGGGUUGACGAAAAAUCAACUGUCUCUUAAUAAAUAUUAAAAUUUAACUUUUUAGUCAAAAGGCUUAAAUUUUCCUUUAGGACGAGAAGACCCUAUAGAGCUUUAUAUCUUAUUUUAUAUAUUUUUUAUUUUUCUUUUAUAUAAAAUAAAAAUAUUUUGUUGGGGUGACAUGAAGAAUAGUAAAACUCUUCAUUAUAAAAUCAUUAAUUUAUGUUUUCAUGAUCCAUAAUUUAUGAUCAUAAGGUUAAGUUACCUUAGGGAUAACAGCGUAAUUAUUUUUGAGAGUUCAUAUCAACAAAGUAGAUUGCGACCUCGAUGUUGGAUUAAGAUAAAAUUUGGGUGCAUAAGCUCAUUAAUUAGGUCUGUUCGACCUUUAAAUUCUUACGU
rnacentral:rRNA from 1 species